AGGGGCAAAGGGCGACAUCGACUAAAACUGCUAAACGCGCCUGCUGAACGAAAAAAUCAAGAUGCAUGCAAAUUUCAGAACAGGGCUUACCUCCGGACUGGUGUUUGGUGACCUCUUCUUCGCUGCUGGCAGCCGCGCCGCCGCCGUCGGCCGCGCCGUCUUCCCUUUUUCUUGCGAAGGCAUCUCUUUUGUCUGUGCUACUGGACUGGGCUUGGCAGGGCUGGGCCGAAAUGGAGAACUAUUCAGACCAAGCAAUAGAAGCCCUUGAUUCAGCUCUUCAGAUGGCUGUUGAACGGUACGCGCUAGCAGUUUCUUUGGGGCGGCGGCGCCCAUCUCCGGCGGCCGGAGGCGGCUCCCUGCGGGUAGGAUGACGAGAUCGCCGGCAGGCACCAACUCAGGCGCCGCGUCUACCUCGGCAUCCGAUGGUGUCCAGGACGAAGUGGGAGACCUCGCAGUACCAAAGAUCGAUUCCAUCGUGGGAGUUGAGGGGCGUUGGCGCUCCUCGCUAGAUUUGCCUCCAAACCAGAUGCUCCAAGGAGUGCCAAGGUUUCUCAUGCCGACUCAGAGGCGAUUAGACGGAUGAGGAUGGGCUGUCAUCGCUCAAUCGAGAGGCUCUGUGUCUGUUGGCACCCAUUCCCAUCUCUGGCCUUGAGGAAGACGCAAGGAGGAAUAGGAACCUUGACAGCAUCGCUUCCUCCGGGCUGCCUGCCAAUGAUGAGAACUCCAGCAGGAAUGGCCACGAUGAGUUGAAGGCUAGGGCACUGUCCAGCAUCAGGAGCAGAGUGAGCGGGGAACACGGCGAUUCUACCAUACACGCUACCUAGCGUGCAUGUUUCUGAUGUCGAUUUAGUGAUGUGACGUUUCAUCAUGUUUCCAUCAUCUUUUUUGGACCGCAGAAAAACUGGACCGACUGAAACGCAAUUAACUAGACGUGACAGUGCAUGCUAGGUAGCCUGCACGGUAGAAACACAUUUCUCGGCGGAAGGGUGCUGCUGGUGGAAGUUUCCACCGACGGCUGAUAUCCUGAAUGGGUUGCCCCACGCAUGGACUCGUUCUGUUUUGUCGUGAUUAGCGCGUUAAUCGAGGCUGAUGUCCACGGUGCAAUCUUUCUUUGGUUGAUGCGUGAUCUGAGCGCCACAACACGGUGCAAUCUUUCUUUUGGGAGGCACUUGAUCACAUGUGUUUCAGGCCUGUAUAGUAGCAGCCACAAGCUGGGACUGCAAUAAUCCGCAUGUCAUCCACGAAAUUUCGUGCCCAGGGUGCACGACAUCGUCUUCAUAA